rnacentral:siRNA from 1 species
AUGAAUGGCUUUCAAAACUUGGAG